GCAUAGGAUGGGACAGAAGGAGAUGCUAAACAGUGAUGCAGAAGCAGCGAAGACCUCCGCAAUCCUGCAGGGAAGCUUGGGAGCUGGUACGGCCCUGCAGAGAUGCACUGAGCCUGACUGCUGCUGGAGCCCAGUGUGAGUCCUGGCAGAAGAAAUCUGCAAACCCUAGUCAGAUGUGUUUCAGCUUUGCAGUGGAUGGUAGGGCCACCCUCCCGUUGGGGUCAGGUCAGAGGACAUGACUCUUUAACAUUACUGAAAUUACAAGUUUCUUGAAUACAAGAUGAAGGAAGAGGUCAAAUAUCAAGUAGGAAGCCAAGCUGCCAUGUUGUAAGCUGCCCUAUGAAGGGACCCACAUGGCAAAGAAUGGAGAAUGACCCCAGCCAGCCAAGAACUCUCAGCCUACCGGCCCAUGAGGAACUGAAUCCUGCCAACAGCGAUGUGAGUGAACUUGGAAGUGGAUCCUUCUCCAGUGGCACCAUCAGGUGAGACUAUAGCCCCAGCCAACAUGGGAGUUGUUUCAGAAGAAAGGAAGUAUUAAGCCAGAUGCUUUACAGACUUUAUCUUGGACCUCAAAUUCAUUCUGUGAGAUACAUGUUGGUAUCUCCAUUGUGUAGAUAAGAAAACCAAGACUCAAAAAGGUGAAAACUUACUAAAUGUCAUAUGAUGAAUGAAUAGAAGAGAGGGGAUUUGAACUCAGGACUGAUAACACAAAAGCCCACACUCUGGUUAUUGCAGAAAUAUACUGUGUUUUUAUUUCCACGUUUCCAUCAGAACUUAAAAAUAAAAAUGGACAGUUGCUCAAUUAUCCCACUAACAAACAUAUGGCAGCAGCAAGAACUGGGACCACAGCACCAUGCUAACCAAGGCCAGGCCUUCCCUGAGUUGGUAUACACUCCCGUACAGCAGCAUCAGAAGCUGCUCAGAGCCUGCAACAUCCUCUUGAGGCAGAAUCCUCCAUGUGCAAAGUGAUCUAAUGGUCAGUUUUUAAAAGAAAAUAGCUGAAUCUGAUGCCAGUAUGGGCUAAGUACUACUUCUAAGAACCUUACAUGUCUUAACUCACUUAAACAAUCCUACAAGAAAGGCACUAUUAUAGUCAUCCAAUUUACGGAUGAGGAGACCAAGGCACAGAGAAUUUAGAUAAUUUUCUCCCAGACAUUCAGCUAUAAGGAGCAGAGCCAGGAUUUAAACUCUGACAAUUUGUCUCCACAGUCGCAUACAAGACCCCCAGAAUUCUCUCCUUGGUCCCAGGCUAUCAUGUUGCCUGGGUUCCCAAUACAGCACUGGGUGUAGCUGGCCUUGGUUCCAGGCCUUCACCUUCUGGAUUCAACCUGGCUACCAACACCCUUGAUUCUGACUUUCUCCAUUCACCUCCUCGUUCCCAGUUCCCAGCUAGCCCUUUCUGCCUUGACCCCAUCUGCCCUGGCUCUUAAGCUGUUCACACCUGCAUCCCAUCCCAUGCCUGCACCCCAGCCCUCACCUGCCUCCUGACCUGUCUUACAGCUCACCAUCCAGCCCGCCUGAGGCUCUGCCCACUGACAGGCUACUCCCAGGACAAUACUAGCUCCCCAGGACAAGCACUACACCCAGACGGCAUGUCAUUCAACAAGUCGGGGGCAGGCUUAAGGUGAAAAAUCAUCCCAAUUCUGGAGAUAUUAUCUGAAAAAAAAAGACUGUUUUCAGGAAACAAUCUUCCCAUCUGUGGUGAUUUUUAAAAUAUAGUUCCCAAAUUUUAUGUGGGAAAGGAAAGUAGCAAUAUAGAUGCAGGAAGAGCAUUACUGUGUGGAUAAAAAGAUGAUGUAUGCAAAUGAACAUGCUCAGCCUAGAACUUAAAUUAAAGUUACUGCCUGAUAUGGUAGGUACUGUGGUCUGAAUGUGUCCCCCAGAGUUCAUGUGUUGGAAACUUAAUCUCCAGUGCAACAAUGUUGAGCAAUGGAACCUUUAAGAAGUGACUGGGUCAGGAGAGUUCUGCCCUCAUGAAUGAAUUAAUGUCAUUAUUGCAAGAGUUAGUUAUUGCAGGAGUAGGUUCCUGAUUAAAAAGUGAGUCCACCCCCACUUCUCUCUCUUUUUCUGUCACGCACAUAUGCACUCUCUUGCCCUUCUACCUUCCACCAUGUGAUGACACAGCAAGAAGGCCCUCACCAGAUGCAGGCCUCUCAACCUUGGACUUUCC
rnacentral:lncRNA from 1 species